AACAACCCCUGAUGCCACUACUCUCCGUAACAAACUUCAGAUGGCUCUGAACGGCCCACUACCAGGCAGUUACAGAUGUCGCUGUCAAGCAGUUACGCUCUCCGUCUAUAAAAAGAGAUCCCCAUAUACAUUCUUCUCUAAGCUCAAAAACUCUAUCUCAAAACUCUACUAAAAUUUUCACUCAAGCACUCCAUUUCUGUUGAAGC
rnacentral:lncRNA from 1 species